UACAGAGGGGGCAAGCGUUGUUCGGAAUUACUGGGCGUAAAGCGUGCGCAGGCGGUUUUGUAAGCCAGAUGUGAAAUCCCCGGGCUUAACCUGGGAAUGGCAUUUGGGACUGCAAGGCUCGAGUGCGGCAGAGGAGACUGGAAUUCCUGGUGUAGCAGUGAAAUGCGUAGAUAUCCGGAGGAACACCGAAGGCGAAGGCAGUGUCCUGGCGCGUGACUGACGCUGAGGUGCGAAAGCCAGGGGAGCGAACGGG
rnacentral:rRNA from 1 species